rnacentral:lncRNA from 1 species
CCACCGAUGCCUCUCCUGGCAGUUUCUCUCUCUCUCUCUCUCUCUCUCUCUCUCUCUCUCUCUCUCUCUCACUCUCUCUCUCUCUCUCUCGUUCUGGGACUUAAAGGCAUGUGCUACCAUCGCCCGGCUUUAUUCUUUUAAAAUAUAUUUAUUUUAUGUGUAUGUGUGUGUGUGUGUGUGCCUACAUAUAUGUAUGUACACCACAUGUAUCAGGAGCUCAUGGAGGCCAGAAGACGGUGUCAGAUCCCCUGGAACUGGAGUUACAAGUUGUUGUGAGCCUACAUGUAGGUGCUGGGAAUUGAACCUGGGUCCUCUGCAAUAGUGAGGCUAAAGUUGGUGAGAGCACCAAGUUUCUGAGGGAAUCCCAAGAAGUCAAAAUGAGUAUCAAAGCUGUUUGGUUGUCAACUGGACUACAUCUGGAAUGAACUAAACCCAAGCACUGGGCACACCUGUGAGGGAUUUAUUUUUUUCUUAAUUAAACCAUUUGAAGUAGG